rnacentral:rRNA from 1 species
GACGAACGCUGGCGGCGUGCUUAACACAUGCAAGUCGAACGGAAAGGCCCUGCUUUUGUGGGGUGCUCGAGUGGCGAACGGGUGAGUAACACGUGAGUAACCUGCCCUUGACUUUGGGAUAACUUCAGGAAACUGGGGCUAAUACCGGAUAGGAGCUCCUGCUGCAUGGUGGGGGUUGGAAAGAUUCGGCGGUUGGGGAUGGACUCGCGGCUUAUCAGCUUGUUGGUGGGGUAGUGGCUUACCAAGGCUUUGACGGGUAGCCGGCCUGAGAGGGUGACCGGCCACAUUGGGACUGAGAUACGGCCCAGACUCCUACGGGAGGCAGCAGUGGGGAAUAUUGCACAAUGGGCGGAAGCCUGAUGCAGCAGUGCCGCGUGCGGGAUGACGGCCUUCGGGUUGUAAACCGCUUUCGCCUGUGACGAAGCGUGAGUGACGGUAAUGGGUAAAGAAGCACCGGCUAACUACGUG